ACGGCUCAGUAACACGUGGACAACCUGCCCUUAGGUUGGGUAUAAACCCGGGAAACUGGGUAUAAUACCCGAUAGGUCUCGAUUGCUGGAAUGCAUCGAGAUUUAAAGCUCCGGCGCCUAAGGAUGGGUCUGCGGCCUAUCAGGUAGUAGUGGGUGUAGCGUACCUACUAGCCUACGACGGGUACGGGUUGUGAGAGCAAGAGCCCGGAGAUGGAUUCUGAGACACGAAUCCAGGCCCUACGGGGUGCAGCAGGCGCGAAAACUUUACAAUGCUGGCAACAGCGAUAAGGGAACCUCGAGUGCCAGGUUACAAAUCUGGCUGUCGAGAUGCCUAAAAAGCAUUUCAUAGCAAGGGCCGGGCAAGACCGGUGCCAGCCGCCGCGGUAACACCGGCGGCUCGAGUGGUAACCGUUAUUAUUGGGUCUAAAGGGUCUGUAGCCGGCCGGAUAAGUCUCUUGAGAAAUCUGGCAGCUUAACUGUCAGGCUUUCAGGAGAUACUGUCUGGCUCGAGGCCGGGAGAGGUGAGAGGUACUUCAGGGGUAGGGGUGAAAUCUUGUAAUCCUUGAAGGACCACCAGUGGCGAAGGCGUCUCACCAGAACGGACCUGACGGCAAGGGACGAAAGCUAGGGGCACGAACCGGAUUAGAUACCCGGGUAGUCCUAGCCGUAAACGAUACUCGCUAGGUGUCGGCCACGGUGCGACCGUUGUCGGUGCCGUAGGGGAGCCGUGAAGCGAGCCACCUGGGAAGUACGGCCUCAAGGCUGAACUUAAAGGAAUUGGCGGGGGAGCAC
rnacentral:rRNA from 1 species